rnacentral:lncRNA from 1 species
AGGGGAUGCGCUUGCUGCUUGACAAUGUUCGAAGUGGCGCUUGUCGACUUCGUCUAGUUUGAAUGGGCCUGGGGAGCGAUGAGUCAUCGUGUUGACGAAACGCGUCGCGCGACUGAGGUGGUAUGGCGGCGGCUGUCGAUGCGUCUUGCUCUGGUAUUUGUUAUCAUUGGUGUAUAUACGGUUUGUGACUUUUUUUUUAUUUUUCGAUUUUCUGCGCUUUUUCUUGUUUGGAGUGUUCAUUCCGUGUAAACAACAACGUUCGAUGUUUUUUCUGAAUUCUUAUUUUAUACCAACUGAUAUAAAUACGAUUUUUAACUUGGACCGGACUUUAACUUUUUCGCUGCUGUUGCGUUCAUUUUGGCGCACCCUGUAUAUAUACUCUGUUAUAAGUAAAGACCGGAUUUUCAUGCAGCUAAAACCGACAAAAUAUGCCAUAAAAUAUGCAGUAACAAAAGGUGAAAUAUGCAGAAUAUAUGCAAU